rnacentral:misc_RNA from 1 species
AACCAUAGAAACCUGCGGAGUACCUGCGGAGGGAUCAUUAUAGUAUAUGGAAUCUCCAUUCUAUAAACCCACUCUGCGUAUCUUGUAACUGUUGCUCCCAUGGGACUUGGUUCCGCCACACCGGCUUCACGGCUGGUGAGCGCCCAUGGAAGGAGAAACAAAACUCUUCUUUGAAAUGUAGUCAGUCUGAACAAGUUUUUAUAAACGUUAAAACUUUUAACAAUGGAUCUCAGAUCGGAA